rnacentral:rRNA from 1 species
CAGCCGCCGCGGUAAUACCGGCGGCCCGAGUGGCGGUCACUAUUAUUGGGCUUAAAGCGUCCGUAGCCGGGUUGGGAAGUCCUCCGGGAAAUCUGGCCGCUUAACGGUCAGAAUGCCGGAGGAUACUCCCAGCCUAGGGAGCGGGAGAGGCCGAGGGGAUUCCCGGGGUAGGGGGGAAAUCCUAUAAUCCCGGGAGGGCCACCUGUGGCGAAGGCGCUCGGCUGGAACGCGUCCGACGGGGAGGGACGAAGGCCAGGGGAGCAAACCGGAGUAGAUACCCGGGUAGUCCUGGCUGUAAACGAUGCGGACUUUGUGUCGGACAAGCUAUGAGCUUGUCCGGUGCCGGAGGGAAACCGUUAAGUCCGCCGCCUGGGGAGUACGGCCGCAAGGCUGAAACUUAAAGGAAUUGGCGGG